rnacentral:rRNA from 1 species
UACGAAGGGGGCUAGCGUUGCUCGGAAUCACUGGGCGUAAAGGGUGCGUAGGCGGGUCUUUAAGUCAGGGGUGAAAUCCUGGAGCUCAACUCCAGAACUGCCUUUGAUACUGAAGAUCUUGAGUUCGGGAGAGGUGAGUGGAACUGCGAGUGUAGAGGUGAAAUUCGUAGAUAUUCGCAAGAACACCUGAGGCGAAGGCGGACUAUCUGGCGAUGCAUUGACGCUGAGGCGCGAAAGCGUGGGGAGCAAACAGG